UACGUAGGGUGCGAGCGUUAUCCGGAAUUAUUGGGCGUAAAGAGCUCGUAGGCGGUUUGUCGCGUCUGUCGUGAAAGUCCGGGGCUUAACCCCGGAUCUGCGGUGGGUACGGGCAGACUAGAGUGCAGUAGGGGAGACUGGAAUUCCUGGUGUAGCGGUGGAAUGCGCAGAUAUCAGGAAGAACACCCGUGGCGAAGGCGGCUCUCUGGAACGCAACUGACGCUGAGACGCGAAAGCGUGGGGAGCAAACAGG
rnacentral:rRNA from 1 species